GACGAACGCUGGCGGCGUGCCUAAUACAUGCAAGUCGAGCGGAAGUUGGAGAGCUUGCUCUUCAACUUUAGCGGCGGACGGGUGAGUAACACGUGGGCAACCUGCCCUGCAGAUCGGGAUAACUCCGGGAAACCGGUGCUAAUACCGAAUAGUUUUCGCCACCUCCUGGUGGCGUACGGAAAGACGGUCUCGGCUGUCACUGCAGGAUGGGCCCGCGGCGCAUUAGCUAGUUGGUGGGGUAACGGCCCACCAAGGCGACGAUGCGUAGCCGACCUGAGAGGGUGAUCGGCCACACUGGGACUGAGACACGGCCCAGACUCCUACGGGAGGCAGCAGUAGGGAAUCUUCCGCAAUGGACGAAAGUCUGACGGAGCAACGCCGCGUGAGUGACGAAGGUUUUCGGAUCGUAAAACUCUGUUGUGAGGGAAGAACAAGUACCAACUAACUACUGGUACCUUGACGGUACCUCACCAGAAAGCCACGGCUAACUACGUGCCAGCCGCCGCCGUAACAC
rnacentral:rRNA from 1 species